GAUGAACGCUGGCGGCGUGCCUAAUACAUGCAAGUCGAGCGAAAACACGAGGUGCUUGCUCCUGUUACGUUAGCGGCGGACGGGUGAGUAACACGUUAAUAACCUACCUAUUUUGCUGGGAUAACUGCAGGAAACCGGAGCUAACACCGGCUAAUACAUUGAGCCGCAUGGUUGAAUAGUUAAAGACGUUUUUGCUGUCGCUCAUCCGUUGUCCCACGCCGCUUUAGCUGGUUUGUAAGGUCACGGCUUAACAAGGGAACGAUGCGUAGCCGAAGUGAGGGGGGGAUCGGCCACACUGGAGCUUGACAAGGGGCCAGGGUCCUAAGGGAGGGAGCAGAGGGGAAAGUUCGGCAAUGGGGGGAAGCCUUGCGGAGCAACGCCGCGUGAGGGGUAGAGGUCUUCGGAGCGGAAAACUCGUUUAUGAGGGAAGAACAACUGUGGAAGUAACUAUGCACGUCGUGACGGUACCUAAUAAGAAAGCCACGGCUAACUACGUG
rnacentral:rRNA from 1 species